rnacentral:misc_RNA from 1 species
AUUUCGAUUCAGCUGGUGCAAAUUGACGAUACAUCUAAAACUUAAAAACUGAUUGUUCACUUCUACAGGAAAAAUCUAAAUAAGAUCAACUGUGUAUUUCUGAUAGCCAGUUUGCUCCUAAAUGAAUCUUCAGCCUCAGAAUGACACAAUCAGGUACGACAAGAGCUUCAUAGAAGACGAUACCUUAAACUGUACGUACAAAUAAAUUGUGUUACUUCUCAUGAAAGUGAUCUCCAUGAGCAAAUGCAUAUGAUCCUGUGAAGCUCCCCAUAGAAGUGAACAUGCAACAAACCCUUUUUUGAGUAUUUGAGCCUAGUUAUUGGCGGUCUUAUCUAGUACAGGUAAACAAUUGAAUAAGAUCUCAGCUGCAUGGUCCAAUUCUUGCUCGGUGAUGGUCAAUGGUGGUACAAGCCUCACAACAUUUCCUUUCCCUGCUGUCAGUACAAGAAGGCCAGAUUGUUGACAUGCUUCAACCAGCGGAGAUGCUGGUACAUCAAGGUCGAUCCCAAUAAUAAGCCCCACACCUCGUACAUCUCUCACAUGUGAGUUCCCUCCUAAUUUCUUAACCAGCAAUUCCUUGAAAUCUUGACCUUUCUUUGCGACACUGGCAAGGAAACCUGGUCCGGAGAUCUUGUCCAGCACAGCAACUGCAGCGUUGCAAACAAGGGGACCACCAGCAAAGGUGCUACCAUGAUCCCCAUAAUUGAUGGCAGCAGCAACUCUUUCAGUUACCAACACUGCCCCAAUAGGUAGACCUCCUGCAAGAGGCUUUGCAAGAGUCAUUAUAUCUGGGUAUAUGCCAUAAGCUUCAUGCGCCCAAAGAUGACCAGUUCUUCCUAGGCCGCAUUGAACCUCAUCAAAGACAAGGAGAGAACCUGCACUAUCACAGGCAGUCCUCAGUGCUUGUAAAAAUUCUUGUGUUGCACUAUAUAUACCACCUUCACCUUGGAUUGGUUCGACAAAUACAGCAGCUAUUUUACCACUCUGAAUUAAUUCUUUUGCUGCUUGAACAUUACCAUACUCCAGGAAAGUAACUCCUGGCAUUAUAGGUUCAAAAGGUGACCUGUAAUAUUCUUUGCUUGUCAAAGCAACGGCACCCAUGGUCCUUCCAUGGAAGCAAUUGGAGAAGGCAAUGAACUCCACAGGAGGCUGCUUCUCAUCGGGAUGAGAAAAUCUCUGAAACUUCCUUGCAAAUUUAAUUGCAGCUUCAUUUGCUUCUGUUCCA